CACCUGUAAGGACGAAAACGGCGACGAAGAAGAAGGUACCUUCCCGCCUGUACGUGUCGUGCUACUGAAGAGGGUGACGCUAUUCUCUUCAUGCGUGUGGAUUCCUGUUCCUUUUGAAUCGUACUUGGGACGUUUGGUUUUUACCAUGUCACGGGUUAGUUUCGCUCGUGGUGCUCUUUUUGUGCAGAGUACAUUUUUACCCACUUUAACGCGUUUUUGUACCUGUUCGCCGCCUGUUACGUUCACGGACAACGCUCUGUAUUUACACCCCGAUUGAACCGGAUAGCACACCGGACGAAGCGGGGGUUUCGCAACUUUAUCCAGCAGAGAAGAGAGGAAGACGGCGGCGCAACUGCUGUGGUGCGGUCAGUUUAAUCUGGUCAAUGAGCCAACAUAUAUCAGGUGCCUCAUUCUUCGGGGACUGCCGGUCAUCUUGGGGGAUGAUCCCACUGCAUUCUUCAGGAACUGCUCUGAUGUAAAUGAGAACGGAUCAUACAGUCAAACUGCAGUGGGAAUCCUCUGCAUGGAUGAAGACAAUCCUCAACUCAACCCAUCCACAGUAGGGAUCAUCUUGGAAGGGAGCAUGGUGAUGGACAACCUGGCAAACGUACCUCAGGCCUUCUGCCUUCUUUUUGGCCUAAUUUAUGCCCUGCACCUCGAUUACCCUAAGUAUAUGAAAAACACUCAUUCACAGGUUGUCUAAAAACUGGUAUAAUGUGCCUUCAUUUUCAUAUUGUAUGAUCAAACAAAUAAAACAGAAAAAUUA